ACAGAAACCAUCUCAAGUUUGAGGCUGGAUUCACAUGGUCCUCCUUUUCUUGUAUGUCCCAGCGUCUGGUGAGAAUUUCUUGGAUUCAAAGGGAAUGUCCAGCAUCUGACUCCCAUCUUGGCACUAGGUUUGAAUGUUUUUUACAUUGACAUUUACCUGGAGUAUUGCAGCAGGAUUCCAAAGAAGCUCACCCAGGACCGCCCCGCUGACCCGGACCUGGACCCAAUGGUAGGAUCCAGCAAGGGGCCCGUUGAGCCCACUGGUACCCACUGUACUGGGUGAACUUGGGUGAGUUGUCUCUUGGAUUCAAGACCUUCCUUUGUUUGUGGUAGAGGGCCUGACUUUAUCUGAGCUGUAUUUUUAAAUCCUUGAGGUGGAACUAAGGUUAAGGGUUGGCAGACCCUAGGAUAAGGCGAGACAGGAAAUAAAAAUAGGUAGCUGGUUUUUAACUUUGGCUUUUCAGCUGGAAUUGCUUUCUGAGAGUCUGAACAAAAAACCUUUUGCUGGAUAAGUGAUAGCUGAACUCACCUCCGAAGAUAAGGGGCAUUUCCUCCUUCCAGCCUGAAUCUUGGGGGUGUUCUUAGGUAACUAAUAAUCUUUGUAAAGGUGUUAGAGGUCAUUUCUCACAACAUGCAGGAGCCCCAUAGGGAAAUUCCGACUCAACUGUAAUUAAACAAUUGACUUGUUCGGGGAUGCACAUAUGAAGGUUGGUCACCUAUUAGACAGCCAGGGAGAGAUACCAAGGCAUGUAGAGGGUUGAAUGCAACUUGAGGGCUGAGAGCCUCGUGGAGUUCAACCCAUAAGCAGCACACUUUGACCCACUACAUAACAUCCCUAGAAAAAUUUGUUCAGACUAUACAGAUCCCAAAAUAAAACUAAAAUUAACAUGGGAAGUUAUGCUUUCAAGGCUGGAAACUCCCAGACCCCAGCCCUCAUUAAUACUCUUGAUAAGAAGACUUUACUUGCAAGUGCUUUACAGAAAUGGGAAGACUUAACUAGAAAUGAUAUCAGCUUAACAAGGCCAAAAUGCAGUUGUCUUUAGGUGCAGAAAUUAAUUUUUUUGCAUGCAAAAUUAGAAAAUGCCAGCUCUAGCAGUAGCCGGUUUG